rnacentral:rRNA from 1 species
AUUGAACGCUGGCGGCAGGCUUAACACAUGCAAGUCGAGCGAGCGGCGGACGGGUGAGUAAUGUCUGGGAAACUGCCUGAUGGAGGGGGAUAACUACUGGAAACGGUAGCUAAUACCGCAUACCAUCAGAUGUGCCCAGAUGGGAUUAGCUAGUGGGUGGGGAAAUGGCUCACCAAGGCGACGAUCCCUAACUGGUCUGAGAGGAUGACCAGCCACACUGGAAGUGGGACAGGGCCCAGACUCCUACGGGAGGCAGCAGGGGGGAAUAUUGGACAAUGGGGGAAAGCCGAAUGCAGCCAUGCCGCGUGUGUGAAGAGGGCCUUCGGGUUGUAAAGCACUUUCAGCGAGGAGGCGUUACUCGCAGAGGAAGCACCGGCUAACUCCGUGCCAGCAGCCGCGGUAAUAC